rnacentral:rRNA from 1 species
GAUGAACGCUGGCGGCGUGCCUAAUACAUGCAAGUCGAGCGAACAGAUGAGGAGCUUGCUCCUCUGACGUUAGCGGCGGAAGGGUGAGUAACACGUGGAUAACCUACCUAUAAGACUGGGAUAACUUCGGGAAACCGGAGCUAAUACCGGAUAAUAUAUUGAACCGCAUGGUUCAAUAGUGAAAGACGGUUUUGCUGUCACUUAUAGAUGGAUCCGCGCCGCAUUAGCUAGUUGGUAAGGUAACGGCUUACCAAGGCAACGAUGCGUAGCCGACCUGAGAGGGGGAUCGGCCACACUGGAACUGAGACACGGUCCAGACUCCUACGGGAGGCAGCAGUAGGGAAUCUUCCGCAAUGGGCGAAAGCCUGACGGAGCAACGCCGCGUGAGUGAUGAAGGUCUUCGGAUCGUAAAACUCUGUUAUUAGGGAAGAACAAAUGUGUAAGUAACUAUGCACGUCUUGACGGUACCUAAUCAGAAAGCCACGGCUAACUACGUG